rnacentral:rRNA from 1 species
UGAGGAAUAUUGGUCAAUGGGCGGGAGCCUGAACCAGCCAAGUCGCGUGAGGGAUGACGGCCCUAUGGGUUGUAAACCUCUUUUGCCGGGGAGCAAAGUGCCGCACGUGUGCGGUUUGGAGAGUACCCGGAGAAAAAGCAUCGGCUAACUCCGUGCCAGCAGCCGCGGUAAUACGGAGGAUGCGAGCGUUAUCCGGAUUUAUUGGGUUUAAAGGGUGCGUAGGCGGACGCUUAAGUCAGCGGUAAAAUUGCGGGGCUCAACCUCGUCGAGCCGUUGAAACUGGGUGCCUUGAGUGGGCGAGAAGUACGCGGAAUGCGUGGUGUAGCGGUGAAAUGCAUAGAUAUCACGCAGAACUCCGAUUGCGAAGGCAGCGUACCGGCGCCCAACUGACGCUGAAGCACGAAGGCGUGGGUAUCGAACA